AACGCACAUUGCGCCUCUCGGUAUUCCGGGAGGCACGCCUGUUCGAGCGCCAUUACACACUCCAAGCGAAGCUUGAUGUUGGGCGAAGCGGUACCCACCGCCCGCCUGGAACGCGUGGGCGCCCGCCGCCGGACCGCGAACGUAGCAAGACAAUCGUCAAGUCGUUCUGCGGGCUCCGACGGGGGGCAGCCUUAUGAAAACAUUUAUAUCCAGUUUGGCCUCGGAUCAGGCGGGGAUACCCGCUGAACUUAA
rnacentral:misc_RNA from 1 species